UACGUUCCCGAACCUUGUACACACCGCCCGUCAAGCCAUGGAAGUUGGGAGGACCUGAAGACAGUUGCUGUAAGGCGCUGUUUAGGGUUAAACCGAUGACUGGGGCU
rnacentral:rRNA from 1 species